CCUACGGGAGGCAGCAGUGAGGAAUAUUGGUCAAUGGCCGAGAGGCUGAACCAGCCAAGUCGCGUGAGGGAAGACGGCCCUACGGGUUGUAAACCUCUUUUGUCGGGGAGCACAGCGAGUCACGUGUGAAUCAUUGAGAGUACCCGAAGAAAAAGCAUCGGCUAACUCCGGGCAAGCAGCCGCGGUAAUACGGAGGCUGCGAGCGUUAUCCGGAUUUAGUGGGUUUAAACGGAGCGUAGGCCGCAUGUCAAGCGUGCUGUGAAAUGUCCGGGAUCAACCCGGGCCUUGCAGCGCUAACUGGCGUGCUUGAGUCCGCGGAAAGCAGGCGGAAUUCGUCGUGUAGCGGUGAAAUGCUUAGAUAUGACGAAGAACCCCGAUUGCGAAGGCAGCUUGCUGCAGCGGAACUGACGCUGAUGCUCGAAAGCGCGGGUAUCGAACAGGAUUAGAUACCCUUGUAGUC
rnacentral:rRNA from 1 species